UACGUAGGGUGCAAGCGUUAAUCGGAAUUACUGGGCGUAAAGCGUGCGCAGGCGGUUUUGUAAGUCAGAUGUGAAAUCCCCGGGCUUAACCUGGGAACUGCGUUUGAAACUACAAGGCUAGAGUGUGACAGAGGGGGGUGGAAUUCCACGUGUAGCAGUGAAAUGCGUAGAGAUGUGGAGGAAUACCGAUGGCGAAGGCAGCCCCCUGGGAUAACACUGACGCUCAUGCACGAAAGCGUGGGGAGCAAACAGG
rnacentral:rRNA from 1 species